UACGUAGGUGGCAAGCGUUGUCCGGAUUUAUUGGGUUUAAAGGGUGCGUAGGCGGUCUAUUAAGUCAGCGGUGAAAUACUCCAGCUUAACUGGAGGGGUGCCAUUGAUACUGAUGGACUUGAGUCAAGUCGGGGUAGGCGGAAUUGACGGUGUAGCGGUGAAAUGCUUAGAUAUCGUCAAGAACACCAAUAGUGAAGACAGCUUACUGGGCUUAAACUGACGCUGAGGCACGAAAGUGUGGGGAUCAAACAGG
rnacentral:rRNA from 1 species